UUACUCCAGGUGCAAACACUAAGCCUCAAAAUUGUUAACACACCAAUCAGAAUUGCAGGAUCAAUAAUUGGGCCGAGAGGCAUGUCCAUGUGCUUUGGAACAAUGGAUCCUAACAAUGCCCAAGUUGCAAGACAACAGAGCGGAAUAGGACGACGAAGACAACAACAAAGACAAGUAAUCUCAGAUGAAAUCCGUGCCACACUAGUUCAUCAUGUGUUCAUACAUGGGAGGACUAUGAGAGAAGCUGGACAGCUAGUGCAACCCAGCCUAAGCCGUUACACGGGUUCAUCCAUUGUCCGUACUUUCAGAAGGGAAAACAGCCCUCCUGGUUUUGACCCUUGCCUGUCCUGACGCCGAAUCCGCCUGCCUGACCACUCUGCCUGUCCUGACCUCGAGCCUGCCUAUCCCCUGGUACUGUUUGGACUCUGACCUGGUUUAUGAACUCUCACAUGUCCUUGUGCCCUUAUAGUCUAAGCAAUUGAGAAACUGUAAAUGGGUGGAAUCGAACCUAAAGAUGGGAAGAUCUGUAUUUCCUAUGGAGAAGGAGGCGUAGUGAGAUCAGGAGUCGAUCCAUCCUUCAUUGUCUUCCCUUAUCUUCUCUGAUAUGGGAGAGAAUAUCCAUGGUACUUAUAGCACCGAGUGCCAGGUUGAGAUAAGCUCUUUCCCUCCCGUCCACUUUGACCGAUUCUAACACAUAUCAAGGUUUCGAGCAGACACUCGGGCAUCAGAUCUAUAUCUCAGCCCAGAGCGCUUAGACAUGCAGAUCCCCUGACACAGCAGCUGCAGGCAUAACAUAACAUUGGGGCUUCCAGACAUCUUUAAAUCUAUGUAAAGUCCAUGGGCUAAAUUGUCUGUUUAAUUUAAGUCCAUAUUUUUUUGUUACCUGCGAUAAACAUCUAUGAUCUCCCUUGUCUCUCCACAUCAAACCUUCUGACACAGCCACUUUAUUUUGUUCUAGAAAUGUUAUCUACUGUAUAAGUGCAUCAUAAGACUUGCACAGCCCUGUAGUGUGUGGUCUAUGUGAAAUGAUCACAUCAGGUGAACGUUUAAGUGGUGGGGUGGAGGCGUAGAAGACAUGUAAUCUGUAAAUAGUAGAACAUGGGUGAGGAGGUAUUAACUCCUCUAAAGUGAUCAUUGGCGACCCGUCCUUCAGGGCAGGUGGGGCAGAGCCACCUGUUUAGCUAUUAAAAAAGUGUCACAUAUCAGUUUGCAAACAAUGAAAACAAAUCAUUUCGUUAAUAAAGCAGCAUACAAACAUGG